AUACGGAGGAUCCGAGCGUUAUCCGGAUUUAUUGGGUUUAAAGGGUGCGCAGGCGGCCAUUUAAGUCAGCGGUUAAAUCGUGGGGCUCAACCCCAUUCUGCCGUUGAUACUGGGUGGCUUGAUUGCGGUCGAGGUUGGCGGAAUUCGUUGUGUAGCGGUGAAAUGCAUAGAUAUGACGAAGAACACCGAUUGCGUAGGCAGCUGACCAGACCGCAAAUGACGCUCAUGCACGAAAGUGCGGGGAUCGAACAGGAUUAGAUACCCUGGUAGUCCGCACAGUAAACGAUGAAUGCUUGGUUUGGGCGAUAUAAUGUCGGAGGCAAAGCGAAAGCGAUAAGUAUUCCACCUGGGGAGUACGCCGGCAACGGUGAAACUCAAAUGAAUUGACGGGG
rnacentral:rRNA from 1 species